GAUGAACGCUGGCGGCGUGCCUAAUACAUGCAAGUCGAGCGAACAGACGAGGAGCUUGCUCCACUGACGUUAGCGGCGGACGGGUGAGUAACACGUGGAUAACCUACCUAUAAGACUGGGAUAACUUCGGGAAACCGGAGCUAAUACCGGAUAACAUGUUGAACCGCAUGGUUCAACAGUGAAAGACGGUUUUGCUGUCACUUAUAGCUGGAUCCGCGCCGCAUUAGCUAGUUGGUAAGGUAACGGCUUACCAAGGCAACGAUGCGUAGCCGACCUGGGAGGGUGAUCGGCCACGCGGGAACGGAGACACGGACCAGACUCCUACGGGGGGCAGCAGUAGGAAGUCUGCCGCAAGGGGCGAAAGCCUGACGAAGCAACGCCGCGUGAGUGAGGAAGGUCUUCGGAUCGUAAAACUCUGUUAUUAGGGAAGAACAAAUGUGUAGGUAACUAUGCACGUCUGGACGGUACCUAAUCAGAAGGCCACGGCAAACUACGU
rnacentral:rRNA from 1 species